CUGAAGAGUAUAAUCGCAAGGUUGAAAUUCAAAGGAAUUGACGGGAGUCUACACAAGCGGUGGAGCAUGUGGUUUAAUUCGACAAUACGCGCAAAACCUUACCAAUCCUUGUUAAUAUUUUUAAAAAAUUAAUUUAAAAAAUACAGGCGUUGCAUGGCUGUCGUCAGCUCGUGUUGUGAGAUGUUUGGUUUAUUCCCUUAACGAGCGAAACCCCUAUUUUUAAUUGCUAAUUUAGAAUAAAAGAUCUUUAUUUUAAAAGUACUUUAGAAAAAAAGUUGAUAAUAAAUUAACGGAAGGUGGGGAUUACGUCAAGUCUUCAUGGCCCUUAUGGAUUGGGCUACACACGUGCUACAAUGAUAAACACAAUGAGAGGCAAUAAUUAUAAAAAAUUGGAGCAAAUCUUUAAAAUUUAUCUUAGUUCGGAUUAUGGGCUGCAACUCGCCCAUAUAAAGUUGGAAUCGCUAGUAAUCGCAAAACAGCAUGUUGCGGUGAAUAUGUUACUAGACU
rnacentral:rRNA from 1 species